rnacentral:rRNA from 1 species
AAGCCGGGGGUACCUGAAGUGCGUAACCGCAAGGAGCGCCCUAGGGUAAAACUGGUAAUUGGGGCUAAGUCGUAACAAGGUAGCCGUACCGGAAGGUGCGGCUGGAACACCUCCUUUCUGGAG